rnacentral:rRNA from 1 species
CAGUAGCCACGGUAAUACGAAGGGGGCUAGCGUUGUUCGGAAUUACUGGGCGUAAAGCGCACGUAGGCGGACAUUUAAGUCAGGGGUGAAAUCCCGGGGCUCAACCCCGGAACUGCCUUUGAUACUGGGUGUCUAGAGUAUGGAAGAGGUGAGUGGAAUUCCGAGUGUAGAGGUGAAAUUCGUAGAUAUUCGGAGGAACACCAGUGGCGAAGGCGGCUCACUGGUCCAUUACUGACGCUGAGGUGCGAAAGCGUGGGGAGCAAACAGGAUUAGAUACCCCUGUAGUCCCUGUCUCUUAUAU